UUAUUUUUGUGGCCUCACAAGUUGCUCAUUGAUUGAGAGCAGCUCUUUAUGUGCACAGGGACAGUGCUGGUCAGGCACAGGUACGGCCACCUGGUCUGGCCAUUCCCAGCACUCCAUGCCCAGGACGUUUGCAGUCUGUGAGGUUAAUGCAGCUGACUGCACAAAGCCAUUACACUUCUUCUGCACAGCUCUUCUCUGACUGCAGUGCAUUCUUCUGCCAGAAGGAGAAGAGGAAACCCUGAGGUGGUGAGGAAGCUGAGGAAGGCAGAUAGUGGUGGAGAGGAGUUAAUUGUGUUCCUUUCUGAUGCCAUCAAGGGCUGGGUAUGGGGUAGAACCCCCUGUGGCGGGGGAACCCAUGCUGGGGAGUGCAGUGCCAUGAUGUGUCUCCAUGGCAACCUGCCCAAGAUGGCCGCCCCAUGCCUGGACCAGGAGCUGAGGGAAGCGGUGCUGAACACUGGACACAACGAUGCCAAACACCCGCAGAGCCAGGAGAGACCAGGUACCAGAUCAGGUUUCAGUCUCUGGAGCAGCAGAGAGAACAUCUUUAGCUAAUAUACUACAUUCCCUGAACUGCAACUAACGCCAACAAAGGGGAAGUGAACACACCCACGUCCCGUGCAGGACGCAGCAGUCGUGCUGUGCAGGCCCAAGCUGAUACAUCUGUGCCGCUUCUCCUUUCCUUCCUAACUUACAGGCUGGAUGCAGUCACCCUUUCAGGCACCAGGGCACCCUGAACAUGCUUCUCACAGGCAGCUGUCUUCUUGUGCCAAACGUGUACAAUCUGCCAGCACCACAACGCCGCGAGCCGCGCACUGCUGGCAGCAACACGGCAGGUUUGGGAGGCUGUUACAGAGCUUUUGUUACCAAGGAAGGGCCGUGCAGGCUCUCCUUCUUUGGAAGCGUGGCUCUGCUCCACAUCCCCACUGCGCUCGGUGCGGAGGUGCUGCGAGGCUGUCUCCUACGUCACAUGUUUUCAAGAAGCUCUCGCCAGCUUCCUGCUGGGGAGCUGAUCCUGCUGACGUGUGCAGACCAGGCCACGUCAGGCACGGCCAGGAAGGGAAAUAAAGUCCUUUUUUGGGUGCAGAUUAGAGCAAAAUCUAUUGGCUUGAACAGAGGGGAGGGCUGAGAUUCACGAACAGCUGGGCUCUGUCAGUAAUUUAGCACAGAGAGCUUAAACAAUGUCCAGGAUAAACACAUGCCUGGACUGGCAGACCUCCCUCUUUUUCUCAGCUCAGCACAAUAUUUUUCUUUCUCUUUUAAAAAUGUUGUUUCAGUGCUGAUAAUUAAUUUGAGUGGAAUGUUUUUCCAGAGUUAUAUUUAGAUUUUCGUCUCUGAUAGCACUCCCCCAUUCCAGCUUCUCUGACAGAGCUGUAACACCGUGCUUUAUGAAAUGAAAACAAUUAUGCCCCUUCCACAGAAUUUAGCAGU